rnacentral:snRNA from 1 species
AUUCUGACUUCGGCAACACAUAUACUAAAAUUGGAAUGAUACAGAGAAGAUUAGCAUGGCCCCUGUGCAAGGAUGACAAGCAAAUUUAUGAAGCAUUCCAUAUUUUU